rfam:Salmo salar isolate Sally breed double haploid chromosome ssa10, whole genome shotgun sequence.
UGCAUUCACUACUGUAAAUCGCUCUGGAUAAGAGCGUCUACUAAAUGACUAAAC